rnacentral:rRNA from 1 species
AUUGAACGCUGGCGGCAGGCCUAACACAUGCAAGUCGAGCGGAUGAAGGGAGCUUGCUCCUGGAUUCAGCGGCGGACGGGUGAGUAAUGCCUAGGAAUCUGCCUGGUAGUGGGGGAUAACGUCCGGAAACGGGCGCUAAUACCGCAUACGUCCUGAGGGAGAAAGUGGGGGAUCUUCGGACCUCACGCUAUCAGAUGAGCCUAGGUCGGAUUAGCUAGUUGGUGGGGUAAAGGCCUACCAAGGCGACGAUCCGUACCUGGUCUGAGAGGAUGAUCAGUCACACUGGAACUGAAACACGGUCCAGACUCCUACGGGAGGCAGCAGUGGGGAAUAUUGGACAAUGGGCGAAAGCCUGAUCCAGCCAUGCCGCGUGUGUGAAGAAGGUCUUCGGAUUGUAAAGCACUUUAAGUUGGGAGGAAGGGCAGUAAGUUAAUACCUUGCUGUUUUGACGUUACCAACAGAAUAAGCACCGGCUAACUUCGUG